UACGGAGGGUGCAAACGUUGCUCGGAAUCAUUGGGCGUAAAGCGCACGUAGGCGGUUCGGUAAGUCGGAUGUGAAAUCUCCAGGCUCAACUUGGAGGGGUCAUUCGAUACUGCCAUGACUAGAGUUCGGUAGGGGAGUGUGGAAUUCCUGGUGGAGCGGUGAAAUGCGCAGAUAUCAGGAGGAACACCCGUAGCGAAGGCGGCACUCUGGGCCGGAACUGACGCUGAGGAGCGAAAGCGUGGGGAGCGAACAGG
rnacentral:rRNA from 1 species